rnacentral:rRNA from 1 species
CCUACGGGAGGCAGCAGUGGGGAAUAUUGGACAAUGGGGGCAACCCUGAUCCAGCCAUGCCGCGUGUGUGAAGAAGGCCCUCGGGUUGUAAAGCACUUUCAGUGAGGAAGAACGCCUGGUGGUUAAUACCCAUCAGGAAAGACAUCACUCACAGAAGAAGCACCGGCUAACUCCGUGCCAGCAGCCGCGGUAAUACGGAGGGUGCGAGCGUUAAUCGGAAUUACUGGGCGUAAAGCGCGCGUAGGUGGCUUGAUAAGCCGGUUGUGAAAGCCCCGGGCUCAACCUGGGAACGGCAUCCGGAACUGUCAAGCUAGAGUGCAGGAGAGGAAGGUAGAAUUCCCGGUGUAGCGGUGAAAUGCGUAGAGAUCGGGAGGAAUACCAGUGGCGAAGGCGGCCUUCUGGACUGACACUGACACUGAGGUGCGAAAGCGUGGGUAGCAAACAGGAUUAGAUACUCUAGUAGUC